rnacentral:rRNA from 1 species
UUAAGCGACUAAGCGUACACGGUGGAUGCCCUGGCAGUCAGAGGCGAUGAAGGACGUGCUAAUCUGCGAUAAGCGUCGGUAAGGUGAUAUGAACCGUUAUAACCGGCGAUUUCCGAAUGGGGAAACCCAGUGUGAUUCGUCACACUAUCAUUAACUGAAUCCAUAGGUUAAUGAGGCGAACCGGGGGAACUGAAACAUCUAAGUACCCCGAGGAAAAGAAAUCAACCGAGAUUCCCCCAGUAGCGGCGAGCGAACGGGGAGCAGCCCAGAGCCUGAAUCAGUGUGUGUGUUAGUGGAAGCGUCUGGAAAGGCGCGCGAUACAGGGUGACAGCCCCGUACACAAAAAUGCACAUACUGUGAGCUCGAUGAGUAGGGCGGGACACGUGGUAUCCUGUCUGAAUAUGGGGGGACCAUCCUCCAAGGCUAAAUACUCCUGACUGACCGAUAGUGAACCAGUACCGUGAGGGAAAGGCGAAAAGAACCCCGGCGAGGGGAGUGAAAAAGAACCUGAAACCGUGUACGUACAAGCAGUGGGAGCACAGAGCAAUCUGUGUGACUGCGUACCUUUUGUAUAAUGGGUCAGCGACUUAUAUUCUGUAGCAAGGUUAACCGAAUAGGGGAGCCGAAGGGAAACCGAGUCUUAACUGGGCGUUAAGUUGCAGGGUAUAGACCCGAAACCCGGUGAUCUAGCCAUGGGCAGGUUGAAGGUUGGGUAACACUAACUGGAGGACCGAACCGACUAAUGUUGAAAAAUUAGCGGAUGACUUGUGGCUGGGGGUGAAAGGCCAAUCAAACCGGGAGAUAGCUGGUUCUCCCCGAAAGCUAUUUAGGUAGCGCCUCGUGAAUUCAUCUCCGGGGGUAGAGCACUGUUUCGGCAAGGGGGUCAUCCCGACUUACCAACCCGAUGCAAACUGCGAAUACCGGAGAAUGUUAUCACGGGAGACACACGGCGGGUGCUAACGUCCGUCGUGAAGAGGGAAACAACCCAGACCGCCAGCUAAGGUCCCAAAGUCAUGGUUAAGUGGGAAACGAUGUGGGAAGGCCCAGACAGCCAGGAUGUUGGCUUAGAAGCAGCCAUCAUUUAAAGAAAGCGUAAUAGCUCACUGGUCGAGUCGGCCUGCGCGGAAGAUGUAACGGGGCUAAACCAUGCACCGAAGCUGCGGCAGCGACGCUUNNNNNNNNNNNNNNNNNNNNNNNNNNNNNNNNNNNNNNNNNNNNNNNNNNNNNGCAUGCUGGAGGUAUCAGAAGUGCGAAUGCUGACAUAAGUAACGAUAAAGCGGGUGAAAAGCCCGCUCGCCGGAAGACCAAGGGUUCCUGUCCAACGUUAAUCGGGGCAGGGUGAGUCGACCCCUAAGGCGAGGCCGAAAGGCGUAGUCGAUGGGAAACAGGUUAAUAUUCCUGUACUUGGUGUUACUGCGAAGGGGGGACGGAGAAGGCUAUGUUGGCCGGGCGACGGUUGUCCCGGUUUAAGCGUGUAGGCUGGUUUUCCAGGCAAAUCCGGAAAAUCAAGGCUGAGGCGUGAUGACGAGGCACUACGGUGCUGAAGCAACAAAUGCCCUGCUUCCAGGAAAAGCCUCUAAGCAUCAGGUAACAUCAAAUCGUACCCCAAACCGACACAGGUGGUCAGGUAGAGAAUACCAAGGCGCUUGAGAGAACUCGGGUGAAGGAACUAGGCAAAAUGGUGCCGUAACUUCGGGAGAAGGCACGCUGAUAUGUAGGUGAAGUCCCUCGCGGAUGGAGCUGAAAUCAGUCGAAGAUACCAGCUGGCUGCAACUGUUUAUUAAAAACACAGCACUGUGCAAACACGAAAGUGGACGUAUACGGUGUGACGCCUGCCCGGUGCCGGAAGGUUAAUUGAUGGGGUUAGCGCAAGCGAAGCUCUUGAUCGAAGCCCCGGUAAACGGCGGCCGUAACUAUAACGGUCCUAAGGUAGCGAAAUUCCUUGUCGGGUAAGUUCCGACCUGCACGAAUGGCGUAAUGAUGGCCAGGCUGUCUCCACCCGAGACUCAGUGAAAUUGAACUCGCUGUGAAGAUGCAGUGUACCCGCGGCAAGACGGAAAGACCCCGUGAACCUUUACUAUAGCUUGACACUGAACAUUGAGCCUUGAUGUGUAGGAUAGGUGGGAGGCUUUGAAGUGUGGACGCCAGUCUGCAUGGAGCCGACCUUGAAAUACCACCCUUUAAUGUUUGAUGUUCUAACGUUGACCCGUAAUCCGGGUUGCGGACAGUGUCUGGUGGGUAGUUUGACUGGGGCGGUCUCCUCCUAAAGAGUAACGGAGGAGCACGAAGGUUGGCUAAUCCUGGUCGGACAUCAGGAGGUUAGUGCAAUGGCAUAAGCCAGCUUGACUGCGAGCGUGACGGCGCGAGCAGGUGCGAAAGCAGGUCAUAGUGAUCCGGUGGUUCUGAAUGGAAGGGCCAUCGCUCAACGGAUAAAAGGUACUCCGGGGAUAACAGGCUGAUACCGCCCAAGAGUUCAUAUCGACGGCGGUGUUUGGCACCUCGAUGUCGGCUCAUCACAUCCUGGGGCUGAAGUAGGUCCCAAGGGUAUGGCUGUUCGCCAUUUAAAGUGGUACGCGAGCUGGGUUUAGAACGUCGUGAGACAGUUCGGUCCCUAUCUGCCGUGGGCGCUGGAGAACUGAGGGGGGCUGCUCCUAGUACGAGAGGACCGGAGUGGACGCAUCACUGGUGUUCGGGUUGUCAUGCCAAUGGCACUGCCCGGUAGCUAAAUGCGGAAGAGAUAAGUGCUGAAAGCAUCUAAGCACGAAACUUGCCCCGAGAUGAGUUCUCCCUGACUCCUUGAGAGUCCUGAAGGAACGUUGAAGACGACGACGUUGAUAGGCCGG